rnacentral:rRNA from 1 species
UACGAAGGGGGCUAGCGUUGCUCGGAAUCACUGGGCGUAAAGGGUGCGUAGGCGGGUCUUUAAGUCAGGGGUGAAAUCCUGGAGCUCAACUCCAGAACUGCCUUUGAUACUGAGGAUCUUGAGUUCGGGAGAGGUGAGUGGAACUGCGAGUGUAGAGGUGAAAUUCGUAGAUAUUCGCAAGAACACCAGUGGCGAAGGCGGCUCACUGGCCCGAUACUGACGCUGAGGCACGAAAGCGUGGGGAGCAAACAGGGAUUAGAAAUCCCUG